CUGGGGUCAGGACAUAGUGCAGGAGCAGGAUCAGGGCUCAGGGUCAAGGCUCAAUGUGCAACUGCAGUCAGGACACAGUGUGGGGUGAAGGUUGGGGCUCAGCUAGCACCAGAGUAGAGGCUGUGUCCAGGUUAAGACUGUAACGCAAGACAGAAAACACACACAGCCAUACGAGGCCACUGUCAGCCGUGCUGGGUAUCUUUAUUUAUUAAGCUUUAUUUUCUGUAGAAGCAAGGUUUUGCUAUGCUGUCCAGGCUGGUCUCGAACUCCUGGCCUCAAGUGAUCUUCCUGCCUCAGCCUCCCAAAGUGCUGUGAUUACAGGCAUGAGCCACUGUGCCCAGGCCAUGGUGGGUAUUUUUAAUGGACAAGAACCCAGAAUGAAGAUCUACAGAGGCUUCCUGGAGGUGGUGGGACUGAGGUCAUCUGGUUUGGCAGGAUGGAAGGCCCGGGCUGGUCCCACCUCCCGCUCCUGCUCGCUCCCGACGGCUGCCUAGGCUGGGGGGCUGCAGACUGUGCCCUGCCGCGCAGGGACUGGAGAUGUGGCAGCCCCGCCAAGGGAUCUCCCAAGAGUCAAAGGAGGUAAUGGAGGAAGAAGGAUCUGAAGACGCAGGGAAGUGCCCAGGCCCCCGCAGGGAGGCUGAAAGCAGCGGUGCCUGCCACGCCCGAGAAGCAGGCUCCAACUCACGUGCUCGUCAGCAGCCGCACUGCUGCCUGCUUUGUCAUUUUAUGCUUAUGUAAAAAAAUACUUUUUGCAAGAAAAAUCUACAGGUACAAAAUGUCAUCCCAGCCCCAUACAGUACCAAGUAAUAUAUAGGCAUAUAUAUAUAUAUAUAUAUAUUUAUGUAUUUAUAACAGAAAAUUGGAUAGAAAUUAUUCCA
rnacentral:lncRNA from 1 species